UACGUGGAUAUGUGCCUCCUGCUGCAUGGGUGGGGGUUAGGAAAGCUCCGGCGGUUGUGGAUGGACUCGCGGCCUAUCAGCUUGUUGUGGUAGUGGCCUACCAAGGCGGCGACGGGUAGCCGGCCUGAGAGGGUGACCGGCCACAUUGGGACUGAGAUACGGCCCAG
rnacentral:rRNA from 1 species